CCAGCACAUGACCGCGUGAAGUAAAGAAGCUUCGGAUUGGAAAAGUCCUUUUGUUGGGAAGAAACCUACUGGUUGAAAACCGGGUGGGAUGAACGGUCCCUGAGAAGAAAGCCCGGGUAAAUUCCUGGCCACAGCCCCGGUUAUUCCAAAGGUGGAAGGGGUACUCGGAAUUACUGGGCGGAAAGGGGGGGGAAGGCGGCUAUUAAAUUCUGUGGGAAAGGCCUGGGCUUAACCCGCGAACUGCAUCGGAUACUGGGUAACUAGAGUGUGGAAGAGGAUAGCGGAAUUCCUGGUGUAGCGGUGAAAUGCGUAGAGAUGAGGAGGAACAUCAGUGGCGAAGGCGGCUUCCUGGACUGACACUGACGCUGAGGCGCGAAAGCGUGGGGAGCAAACAGGAUUAGAUACCCUGGUAGUCCACGCCCUAACGAUGAGUGCUGGAUGUUGGGUGCUUUAUGACACGCAGUACCGAAGCUAACGCGUUAAGUUCUCCGCCUGGGGAGUACGCUCGCAAGACUGAAACUCAGAGGAAUUGACGGGGGCCCGCACAAGCGGUGGAGUAUGUGGUUUAAUUCGAAUGCACGCGAGAACCUUACCAUGGUCUUGACAUCGCCGCAUGACUUCUCCUGAGAUCAGAUGUGUUGCCCUUCGGGGAACUCGAACACAGGUGCUGCAUGGUUCUUGGUCAAGCAAA
rnacentral:rRNA from 1 species